rnacentral:tRNA from 1 species
ACUCAGGUAGCUUAUCAAGAGCAUUACAUUGAAGCUGUAGAGGAGGUAUUCUUACCCCUGGGUG